CGCGUCGAGCACCGUGGGCGCGUCUGGGUCGCCUCGGGCGACUACAAGGUCGAGCCCGAUCCGACCUGCGCGCCGUUCGAACCGGUGCGCUGCGAC
rnacentral:tRNA from 1 species